GAUGAAGAACGCAGCGAAAUGCGAUAAGUAAUGCGAAUUGCAGAAUUUCCGUGAGUCAUCGAAUCUUUGAACGCACAUUGCGCCCAUUGGUAUUCCGAUGGGCAUGCCUGUUCGAGCGUCAUUUCUGCCCUCAAGCACGGCUUGUGUGUUGGGUGUGGUCCCCCCGGGGACCUGCCCGAAAGGCAGCGGCGACGUCCGCCUAGGUCCUCGAGCGUAUGGGGCUUUGUCACUCGCUCGGGAGGGGCCUGCGGGCGUUGGUCAUCCACUAUUUUUCCACGAUUGACCUCGGAUCAGGUAGGAGUUACCCGCUGAACUUAAGCAUAUCAAUAAGCGGAGGA
rnacentral:misc_RNA from 1 species